rnacentral:rRNA from 1 species
GCAUAUCAAUAAGCGGAGGAAAAGAAAAUAACAAUGAUUUCCCUAGUAACGGCGAGUGAAGAGGAAAGAGCUCAAAGUUGGAAACUGUUUGGCUUAGCUAAACCGUAUUGUAAACUGUAGAAACAUUUUCCUGGCACACCAGAUUAAUAAGUCCUUUGGAACAAGGCAUCAUGGAGGGUGAGAAUCCCGUCUUUGAUCUGAGUAGUUGUCUUUUGUGAUAUGUUUUCAAAGAGUCAGGUUGUUUGGGAAUGCAGCCUAAAUUGGGUGGUAAAUCUCACCUAAAGCUAAAUAUUUGCGAGAGACCGAUAGCGAACAAGUACCGUGAGGGAAAGAUGAAAAGAACUUUGAAAAGAGAGUUAAACAGUAUGUGAAAUUGUUAAAAGGGAACCGUUUGGAGCCAGACUGGUUUGCUUGUAAUCAACCUAGAAUUCGUUUUGGGUGCACUUGCAGGCUAUACCUGCCAACAACAGUUUGAUUUGGAGGAAAAAAUUAAUAGGAAUGUAGCCUCUCGAGGGUGUUAUAGCCUAUUAUCAUACUCUGGAUUGGACUGAGGAACGCAGCGAAUGCCUUUAGGCAAGAUUGCUGGGUGCUUUCGCUAAUAAAUGUUAGAAUUUCUGCUUCGGGUGGUGCUAAUGUUUAAAGGAGGAACACAUCUAGUAUAUUUUUUAUUCGCUUAGGUUGUUGGCUUAAUGACUCUAAAUGACCCGUCUUGAAACACGGACCAAGGAGUCCACCAUAAGUGCAAGUAUUUGAGUGACAAACUCAUAUGCGUAAGGAAACUGAUUGAUACGAAGUCUUUUGAUGGCAGUAUCACCCGGCGUCGACGUUUUAACUGAAAUGACCGAGGUAAAGCACUUAUGAUGGGACCCGAAAGAUGGUGAACUAUGCCUGAAUAGGGUGAAGCCAGAGGAAACUCUGGUGGAGGCUCGUAGCGAUUCUGACGUGCAAAUCGAUCGUCAAAUUUGGGUAUAGGGGCGAAAGACUAAUCGAACCAUCUAGUAGCUGGUCUGCGA